ACUCAAAUGAAUUGACGGGGGCCCGCACAAGCGGUGGAGCAUGUGGUUUAAUUCGACGCAACGCGCAGAACCUUACCAACCCUUGACAUGCCCGUCGCGGGGACGAGAGAUCGACCCCUUCAGUUCGGCUGGACGGUGCACAGGUGCUGCAUGGCUGUCGUCAGCUCGUGUCGUGAGAUGUUGGGUUAAGUCCCGCAACGAGCGCAACCCUCGCCUUCAGUUGCCAUCAUUUAGUUGGGCACUCUGAAGGGACUGCCGGUGACAAGCCGGAGGAAGGUGGGGAUGACGUCAAGUCCUCAUGGCCCUUACGGGUUGGGCUACACACGUGCUACAAUGGCGGUGACAAUGGGAUGCGAAAGCGCGAGCUGGAGCAAAUCCCAAAAAGCCGUCUCAGUUCGGAUUGCACUCUGCAACUCGAGUGCAUGAAGUCGGAAUCGCUAGUAAUCGCGCAACAGCAUGGCGCGGUGAAUACGUUCCCGGGCCUUGUACACACCGCCCGU
rnacentral:rRNA from 1 species